rnacentral:rRNA from 1 species
AUGGUGAAGAAGCGAAGCGGGCUGUCUUGUAGAGGCUGCGCAUGUCUGAAAGGUGUCGGCCCUAGCGUACUGCAACUGAGUUUGUCUUCUAUCCCAUGGCCGGUCAUCUCGUGGGCCGGCCCAUGGGUCCACUGGCCUCUUAUCCGCGUCCCAGCCCUACUUUUGUGUGGCUCACCUACCUCUGUGAAUGGUUUUCUAUUUGCGGUCUUCAGAGGAGGAGCUGCAGUUGAAAACAAGGUGACCAGAUCUGGUGGCCAUCAGGCAGCUGCUGUCGCCGGCGGUGGUGGAAGUUUUGAAGCUUCUUAG